rnacentral:lncRNA from 1 species
AAACUCAAAAUCCACCUUUCUUUCAGUGCAAACAACCCUAGAUGAAAUGAUGGAUCAAAAGGGGGUUACCCAUGGGUGAGAAGAUGUUGUUGGAGAUGGAGAAGGAGCAGGAACUGACUAUGGAGAGGGAGGAAGUCUGGUAGGCAGCUGAGAUGGUGCUGAAGGUGGAGGAGAAGGAUCUAGUACCGACUGAAAAGUUUGCCCUAGGUCAUUUUUUUGUUUGGAGUGACGUUCAUGGAUGGG